rnacentral:rRNA from 1 species
AUGAACGCUGGCGGCGUGCUUAACACAUGCCAGUCGAACGGUGAAGGCGGAGCUUGCUCUGCUGGAUCAGUGGCGAACGGGUGAGUAACACGUGAGCAAUCUGCCCCUGACUCUGGGAUAAGCGCUGGAAACGGCGUCUAAUACUGGAUACGAGCUGCGAAGGCAUCUUCAGCAGCUGGAAAGAACUUCGGUCAGGGAUGAGCUCGCGGCCUAUCAGCUUGUUGGUGAGGUAACGGCUCACCAAGGCGUCGACGGGUAGCCGGCCUGAGAGGGUGACCGGCCACACUGGGACUGAGACACGGCCCAGACUCCUACGGGAGGCAGCAGUGGGGAAUAUUGCACAAUGGGCGAAAGCCUGAUGCAGCAACGCCGCGUGAGGGACGACGGCCUUCGGGUUGUAAACCUCUUUUAGCAGGGAAGAAGCGAAAGUGACGGUACCUGCAGAAAAAGCGCCGGCUAACUACGUG